rnacentral:rRNA from 1 species
AUUGAACGCUGGCGGCAUGCUUUACACAUGCAAGUCGAACGGUAACAGGCCGCAAGGUGCUGACGAGUGGCGAACGGGUGAGUAAUGCAUCGGAACGUGCCCAGUCGUGGGGGAUAACGCAGCGAAAGCUGCGCUAAUACCGCAUACGAUCUAUGGAUGAAAGCGGGGGACCGUAAGGCCUCGCGCGAUUGGAGCGGCCGAUGUCAGAUUAGGUAGUUGGUGAGGUAAAGGCUCACCAAGCCAACGGUCUGUAGCUGGUCUGAGAGGACGACCAGCCAAACUGGGACUGGGACACGGCCCAGACUCCUACGGGAGGCAGCAGUGGGGAAUUUUGGACAAUGGGCGCAAGCCUGAUCCAGCAAUGCCGCGUGCAGGAAGAAGGCCUUCGGGUUGUAAACUGCUUUUGUACGGAACGAAACGGCUCUCACUAAUACUGGGGGCUAAUGACGGUACCGUAAGAAUAAGCACCGGCUAACUACGUGCCAGCCGCCGCGGUAACAC